UUCUUUUCUCCCGUCCAUCUGUGAAAUUGAAAACCAAAUUUGAAAUUUCCAAAUCCAAUUAACCCUAAAUCUUCCCCCUAUGCUCACGGCGGAGGCAGCUGCUCAGGUACACGAGGGCAUAAAUUUGGCGAUCUCCCGAUGGGCUUCUCUUCGAAUGGCUGUCGAGAAUGAGUGGGGGCGGUUGUGAUUCUGCCCAGAAAUCCCAACAACUCGCCCCAAGUUAUCUUUCACACCUCGUUCAAUCCAAAGGUAUUUUCUUUAUUCGUAUUUCAUUGAAGGAUUGAUAUCUUCGUGCUUGUACUUUUCUACCAACGCCAAGUAAAAUAUAUCUUCUUUAAGAUGUUAAUGUUUAUCGUUAAGCUUUUCUGCAAUCUUAAUAACUCGAGGGCUGUCAACAAUUUGAAUAACAAAGUUAUGCUGAGCAACUUCUUAAAUUACUUUCUUAACUUCUAUAACAGCAACUUCUAAAACCUGCUCAGCACUAACACACACACACACAGAGAAGAGGGACGGGACCUGCAGAAAUCGGAGAAGGGGGAAUUACGGAAGGCAGAGCGAGAGGAAGAGCGAGAAUUGGCUCCCCAACCCAUGCCUAGGGUUUUCUGGGUUGUAUUCUUCUUCUUCUUAUCAUUCUUCGUACUUUUAGCACCACUGCUACUGGUUUUGUUAGAAGGAUUAGAAGAGAUUGAAUUGAAGCCCCGUUUCGAAUUCGAAACAGAGUUUCCGGAGCGAGUCGAAUCGAAACUCAUCUUCACGAAUCACGAAUUAUGCAAUUGCAUUUUGAGAUGUUCAGAGAUUAAAAAAUAUUAAGAAACUUGCAGAGAAUGCAUUUGAAAUGAAUAGGAAAUUUUCUUAUAAUUUUGAGUUUACAUUUAACCACCGAUCGACCAUUUGCGGGAGCGGGACGAGAUUGCCUGCAGUGCUAUGCGGUGCAAUGUUUUGAUCACUAUAUUCCAUAGAAAAAAUAUAUGAAAAAGGAAAAAAGAAAAAGAACUAAAAAUUUAGCCCCUGGUUGGCCUUCAUUAAUUUCUAUUUCAUUAAAUUUCUUUUUUUUCUCUCCUACUUUUAACCACACAAUCUUCCAUAAAAUAAUAUUACACGUAAAGCGAAAAAUUUUCUUUCUUUUUCAACUACUCAUUUUUCACAAAAACAAUAUUCCACCCAUUAAAUUUUCUACAAAAUGGGGGCCAAACCGGGGCUUAAUCACUAUAUUUGGGUGGGGGCCAACACAUUCAAUCUACGUUAAGUAAGCUAAAAGCCAUUAUCUCGGCCAAAUAAAAAAUAAUAAAACCUUAUAAUUAUGCAAGAGAAAAGUUGUUCAAUUAAUCUUUAAAUAUUUUUCCAGAUUUUAUUCCUAUCUUGGUUGCCAAACAUUAAUGAAAAACAAGUGUGAAUUAAGGUUCUUUACCUUAAAUAGAUAUUUCUUUCCAUUUUGUAUUAAUUAAUUUUAGGACAAAUUAUUCUUGAUGAUUUAUAUAAUUAAGGCCUUAAAAAACUCGAUGGUGUCAUAAUUUAUAUACAUUAGCGCCAACGGGUCUUUGUUCAUAUAUAUGUGAUUCCCGAAUCAAACAUUAUUUUUAAAACAAUAUACAAAUUCAAACACAACCUAAGUGAGAUUCUAUAUUUAUUAAACAAACCUCAUGGGGCUGCAAUUUCUUGCCGUAGAAAACAUUAGGUUGAAUCCCUCCCUUCAUCAUCUCAUCAUCCACAAGUUUGCUGUAGAAGACAACAUCUGCUCAUUUUGCCUGACCAAUAUAAUUGUCAUCUACUCAAGAACAUUUGAAAUUUUGGCAUGCUUAUAAAAGAUUAAUAAUGGAUGAUCUCGUUGAACUAUAUUGUUGUGGUUGGACAACAAGCAUGAUCUACAUGAUAUUAGCAUUAGAGGAUAAUAAUAAUUAAUAUUUUUUCCUGUUAGUUAUUUGUUAGAUAUAUUUCAUGUUCAGUAAAUAUCUAUUAGAUGCACAGGUUUGAAUGAGAAGUUUCCAAAUAUCAACUAAUACCUGUCUUUUCAUCUUUUUGUUUAUGUGGAAACUGUAUUCAGAUGGUAGAAAAGUUGAUCAAUGAGCAUGAAGAAUGUGUAGAAGGUAAAUUUAACUCAAUUAAAAGCCUAAAGGAAACAAAUGCUCCAAGCGUAUCUUUUGUCAGACACGUAACUAUCACUCUCUAAUGACCGAAUAAGUUUUCAUUAUUUGGAUCAAUAUUUUUGCUAUUAAUGAAUUGAGUUUGUUGUUUAUUAAAUGACAACCUUAGAAUGUUUUCUAAGAAGAAAUGAUAAAUAUAUGAGCAUGUUUUCGAAUUGUGAUGUAAAUAUUGAUCAUGCAAGUUUGAUCCAUAUCUUAUCAUUAGCUAAAUAUGAUUGGAGACCAGUUAGAUGACUGUAUAUACAUUUUUAGCCCCUGAUUGGUAGAAAUCAUUUGUUAUCUCUUGAAACCAAUCCACACAUAAGGCCAUACCAAAUUUAUCAACACCACCGCUUACACUCCAUAGAUUAGCCACUAUGUUAGGAGAACCUAUUGAUGAAUACAAAAUAGGAGCACCUUCCGGGGUGUAAAGCCCAUUUAGUUUUAGUUCACCACUUUCGCAUCCUAAUAGUAUUGUAGCCGCACAACCAUUGAGUUCUUGAAUUUUUUCUUUAAGGUCAAUGUUCAACUAUAAAAUGACAAGGUAAAAAUGAAAUUGGGUUUAACGAUUCUCUAGAAAUACAAAGUAGGGGGAAAAAAGAAUACAUACCUGACUAUGCUUUACUUAAACUACUUAUUUGUGAAACUUGAUUUCCAAAGUAACUUUUUUUUUAUUGACAAAUCUUGCUUUUGCUUUUCUCGAACCUACAUUCACAAGUGUUAACUUUUAAGUACAAUCAAAUAUAUUCUAGUUGUUUACCAUCUACAUGGACCGAGCAAACACAGAGGUCGUGAUUUUUCAAAGUUACAAUUAGCUCAUUGUUUGGAAAAAAUAUUUAUACGUACCAUGCAUAGAAAAGUCGAAGAAGAAACUUCAAUCCAAUUUGGCAAAUCUUUGUUUUUCUUAUCAAGUAUGAGAAAUAAAGAACUAGAUUACCUUGCAAUUCUCUUUUUGCAACAAUUUCUCAAAUUUAACCUGUUCACUUCCAACGCAGUCAUUGUUAGGAUUUAUUACAUAAUAUAGGUUGCGAGGAUUUAUCAAUAGAAAUGAUACAGAAUUUGUCGAAAACUACACUUGUUCUUGGCAACGCGUGUGAAUUGUUGCAAGAAUGCUUUCAACAGAUGACAUACGAUAAAUCUCUUCGUUUUCCAAUAUCGACAGAUUCUCCCAUGAAAAUAACUGUAGAAAAUUAUCAAUAUUGCUUAAAUAACCUAUAUUAAAAACGUAAGAUUAUUUAUGAUCAAUAUGACACGAAUCAAUCAAAGAAAUUAUCGAUUAUAUUUAUAUAAAUUACUAUAAUGAAAUGAAAAGCAUAACAUGUUAGAUUCAUUUAUUCGAUUUUCAAAUAUAAAAAUUCUAAUUAAUUGGUUAAAUAGAAACUCUAAAAACUUAUAAAAAUAUAAUAGAAAAUAACAAAAGAAAAUAUUUGAAAGUAAUAAAUUAAAGGUGUGUACUUGAACAUCAUAAUCUAGGAUUGGAAAGAUGAGACUUCUUUUCAUGCAAUCUAUCCCACCGUUAUCGCGUGUUUUUUGUUUUGAACACAGAACUCAAUAGGGAAAUAGAUUUUCCUGGCUUUAUGCCAACAUAACAUCAUUUCGUCAAAAUAUACGGUAAAUAUCUUCCGUCUAUGGACAUAUAUUCUUUCAUAAAUACAAGGUGUUUAGAAUUUGGUCACUGUCCCAACAUGACAUGUUUUCAAGCAUUAAAAUUUCCAACCUUGGGGUUUCACUAUGAAUUUGCUCAAUUAUGUUAGGAACAUUAAUUUAUAGCAGCGAAUUUACAAGUAUUAAAAUUAUGAAUAUUUUUUAUUCAAUUAGGUUUAUGUCAAUGUGUCUUCAUGUAUCAGAAAUACGGAAGCCUUUUGGCUUGGUGCCUGAAAACAUGACAUGUUGGGGUAGAUUAUGUUAGGAACCUUGGUUUAUAGCAACGAAUUUACUAGCAUUAAAAUGAUGAAUUUUUUUUAUUUAAUUAAAUUUUAUGUCAAUGUGUCUUCAUAUAUCAGAGAUAUGAAAGCUUUUUGGCUUGGUGUUUGAAAACAUGCCAUGUUGGGAUGUGGCCAAAUUCUUAACACCUUGUAUUUAGGAAAGAGUACCUAUCUGUAGAUGAAAGAUAUUUACUGUAUAUUUUGAUGAAACGAUGUUAUAUUGGCAUAAAGUCGAUAGUAUCUACAUUCCUAUUGAGUUCUAUGUUCAAAACACGUGAUAACGACGAGAUUGAUUGUGUAAAAAGAAGUCCCAUCAUUCUAAUCCUAGAAUUCGAGGUUCAUGUAUACACACUUAAUUUAUUACUUUCAUGUAUCUUCUUUUGUUUUUUUCUGCUAUGUUUUUAUAAGCUUUUAUUAGAGUUUCUAUAAUUAAUUAAAAUUUUUAUAUUUGAAAAUCAGCUCAAUGAAUCUAAUAAGUGAUGCUUUUCUUUUCAUUAUAGUAAUUUAUAUAAUUGAUAAUUUUUUUGAUUAAUUUGUAUCCUGUUAAUCAUAAAUAGUCUUAUGCUUUUAUUAAAGGUUAUUUAAGCAAGAUUGAUAAUUUUUUGCAUUUAUUUCCAUAGGAGAAUCUGUUGACAUUGAAAAAAAAAAGAUUUAUUGUAUGCUAUUUGUUAGAAGUAUUCUUGCAACAAUUCACACGUAUUGCCAAGACCAUGCGUAGUGUUUGACAAAUUCUGUACCAUUUCCAUCGAUAAAUCAUCGUAACCUAUAUUAUGUAAUAAAUCUGAACAAUGAUUUCGUUGGAAGUAGACAGGUUAAAUGUGAGAAAUGGUUGCAAGGUAAUCUUAUUUUUUGUUUCUCAUACUUGAUGAGAAAAACAAAGAUUUGCCAAAUUGGAUUGAAGUUUCUUUAACUUUUCUGUGUAGGGAGCUAUAAUAUUUUUCCCUAAAUAAUUAGCUGAUUGUAGUCUUGAAAAGCAAUGACUUCCAUGUUUACUCGGGCCAUGGAGACGGUAAGCAACUAGCUUAUGUGUUUGAUUGUGUUUAAAAGUUAAUACUUGUAAAUGUGAGUGAGAGAAAAACAAGAUUUGUUAAUAAAAAAAAAAAUUUGAAAAUCAAGUUUCACGAAUAAGUAACUUAAGUAAAGCAUAGCCCAAGCAUGUAUUCAUUUUUAUUUUUUUUUGUUUUAUAUUUUCAAAGAAUCGUUAAACCCUAUUUCAUUUUUUACCAUGCGAUUUCAGGGUUGAAUAUUGACCUUGAGAAAAGUAUUCAAGAACUCAAUGUUGUGCUGUUGCAGCAGUACUAUUGAUAUGGGAAAGUGGUAAAAUAAAACUAAAUAGGCUUUAUGCCCUGGAAGAUGCUCCUAUUUUGUAUUUAUCGUUGAGUUCCCCUCACAUAGUGGCUAAUCUAUGGAGUGUAAGCAAUGAUGUUGAUAAAUUUGGUAUGGUCUUAUGUGCGAGUUGAUUUUAAGGGAUAGCAAAUGAUUCUACCAAAUGAGGGCUAAACAUGUAUAUACAACCAUCUAACUGGUCUCCAAUCAUAUUUGACUAAUGACUAGAUAUAGAUCAAACUUUAAUGAUCAAUAUUUACAUCACAAUUCGAAAACAUGCUCAUAUAUUUAUCAUUUCUUUUUUGAAAACAUUCCAAUUUUAUCAUUUAAUAAACAAGCUAAAUUCAUUAACAACAAAAAUAUUAAUCCAAAUAAUGAAAAUUUGUUCAAUCACUAGAGAGUGAUAGUUACCUAUUUGACAUAAGUCUACGGACUAAUGGGCAAGUUAAGAUCUCCAACAGGGAGUUAAAGAAAAUCCCAUAAGCUAUAGUUAAUAUGUCACGCACAAAUUGGUUAAAGAAAUUAGAUGAUGCGCUUUGAGCCUACCGAACCGCAUUUAAAACUCCUAUUGGGAUGUCUCCUUAUUGAUUGGAGUUCGAAAAGGUAUGUCACUGGUAAGUUGAAAUUGAGUAUAAUGCAUAUUGGAUAACUCACAUGAUAAACCUGGAUAUAAAGGUGGUCGGGAAAAAGAUCCUUCAAACGAGUUUGAUGAAUUUAGGUUUGGGGCUUUACGAGAAUACAAAAUUGUAUAUGGAAAAAUCUAAAAGAUAGCACAUUAAAGAAAAAGGGUUCGAGGUUAGUCAACGAGUUUUGAUGCUCAAUUCUCGCCUCAAAUUCUUUCUUGGCAAGCUAAGAUCAAGAUAGUUGGAUCCAUUCACGAAUGGAGAUGUACAUCCGUGUGGCACAUUUGAGGUUAUAUCUCAAGAUCACCAACAAAGGUUCAAUAUCAAUGGGCAAAGGUUGAAAACUUAUUGGGGAGGUGAUUACUCCAAUGAGAACACAAUUCUAUCACUUGAGGAUUCAAAAUAAACUUAAAUGAAAAGUGAGCUAUAAACUACUAAAAAAAAGGCUUGUUGGAAGGCUUCUUCACUUUUAUUUAUUCAAUUUUUAUACAUUAUUUUAAGAUUUUUCAUGUUUUGUGUUUUUGUUAUUGAAUUAGGUAUCUUCAUCCACAACUUAGGUUUUUAGGAUCAUUCUUGCAUUCAUAUACACUUAAUAUGUGUUUUGCAUGAAUUUGGAGCAUUUAAAACAUGUACAAGUGAUUUGAGUGAAAAAAGUGUUUUAGGGGGUCAAAUACGAGAAUUUGGAGAAAAUUACACCAAAAGGUAACUUUUAAAAGAAUGGUUGAGUUUGAAAUAAUUUUCAUGUUUUUCCAUCACUUUUUAGGCCUUUAGGACAUAAUUUAGUCGAAAAUCAACGUUUGGAGACAAUCGAGGGGUCUGAAUAGUCAAAUUCCAGCAAAGGAGAAAUGUCCUCUUUGCUAAUAACCGACGCGUGACCUUGCGCAUGCAAGGCCACCAUAUAAUUAACAAGGGCUUAUAUGACUAAGGUGCGGCUGACCCGUGGGGUGGGUUUUAAAACCCACAUCGAUACACAUUACAUGCACACUGAAAAACAUUACCGAUACCCCCUCUCAAUUUAUCUUCAAAUUCUAGACAAUCUCUAAUCAAUUUUUUUCCAAAUUUCACGUCGGCGUUGAAGAUUUGACGAACUAGAGCAUCAUUCAGCAACUAUUUCACACUAACAUUCCCCAAAUUUCAAGAAGUCAAAAGUACUUGUUAUACUUUGAAGAAUUUCAUGGUUUUGCUAGCUUUUUACAUAUCUUGCUAUUUGUUGGAGUUUUUGUGGUUCUUGAUAGAGAACAGGAUUAGGUCAAUGUUGGGUUUGCCAUAUGUGUUGUAAAGUCAUGGAUUAGACUUGUUUAGGUUCCAAGUUUACUUUAGACUCAUUGGUUUGCACAUUAAGUGUUUGACAAAAGGCCUAAAUGUAGUUUUUGUUCAUGCUUGUGGCUCUAUUUAUAUUCCCUACCUACGAACCCUCGUCUUUCUUGUCAAUCGACGUUCAUAUUAUUUUAUUAUGGUUGGCAUAUCUUAUACAAGUAACUAAUGUUCAUUUUUUUACACUGUUUGAUAAGGAUGCCUUCAAAGAGAAAUAAUAUUUCUUCCACAUCAUAGGGCAAAAAAUGGUCACGAAAUCUUCCGGCAUGGCUCGCACUCGACUUGAUGAUGAGAUAUGUGGCAGUUUCCAACCCUUGAGCACAAGGCUAGAUUUGAUAAUGUGGUCAAGAUGGAAACUUUGUCCAGGACGACAGGUAGUGGUGGAAGACUUUCUAGGGUUUGAGAUGACCCAAUUGAUUCGUUUAGCAAGAUGGGAACAAGUAGCAGGCGAGCCUUACAAGGUUUAUCUUAUCUUGGUGUAAGAGUUCUACACCAACUUUAAUGCAGAGUUAGACAUUCUGGGACCGAACAUAUGCACCAGCCAUGGAUUCGAGACAAAUGGAUAAUGUUCUGGCCAGAAGUGAUCGAUACUUACUACGGACUACCUAGGGACAAUAUUGUUCCUGUACCAAUGGAUCUAGACAUGUUAUUUGUUACACAGAUGCUAUAUGGGAGAGACGACACAUGGCCGCUUCUAGAAAACGAAUUUGAAUAUCGACAUCUGACAGACUCCCUUGUGAUCCUAUAUAACUUCAUCAGUCACAAUAUCGAUACAAACUCACACUGCACCACCAUUAGUCAUCUGAAGGCCAAUCUACUGUAUCAUCUCGCAUGAGGUUUUAAGAUUCAUUGGGAUCUAUGGUUAUUCCGAGUGCUUUUUUGGUGUGAUUUUUCAGUAUUAUACAACUUAUCUGUUUUCAGAUUACAGAAUUUAGUUUAUUUAAUUUACAAAAUAAAUAUUUCAGCUUAUAGUACUGUGA
rnacentral:lncRNA from 1 species